UAAAAUAUGGGAGAAAGCUUAUGUUUAGGAGGGGGGGAGGGAAGAGGUUAUGGUAAGGAACUGAUGGAGUGGCUAUGUUUUAGGACCGGGACGGAUGGAGGGGCGAGACGGAUCAUCAUUUAGGCCAAACGGGGCUAUGGAGGAAAGCCUAAAGAUCCACCUUCUCUCAGCAGCUCUCCUCUGGACCAGGGACCAACCGACAUUGGUCUCUAGACCGGACAAUGAAAAGUUGUUGAUAUGAUGUGAGAUGAAACGGUCCUGCAUAGUUUGCACUGGAUGGCGUAGACGACAUUGCAGGAGAGUAGUGUGAAGGUCUGCGAGAUGGGGGCACCGGCUCGACAGUUGAAGAUGUACUUCAGGGAGAACGGGCCGGCCUGGCUGGAAGAGGGCGGUCACUUCCCCUUUAAUGGUC